rnacentral:rRNA from 1 species
AGGACGAACGCUGGCGGCGUGCCUAACACAUGCAAGUCGAACGGAGCUCAGUUGGUGGCAACACCAACGAAAGUUCAGUGGCGAACGGGUGCGGAACACGUGAGCAACCUGCCUCGAAGACCGGGAUAACAGAGGGAAACCGCUGCUAAUACCGGAUACCCCCACGAGCCCGCAUGGGUUUGUGAGGAAAGGAAUCCGCUUCGAGAGGGGCUCGCGGCCUAUCAGCUUGUUGGUGGGGUAAUGGCCCACCAAGGCUACGACGGGUAGCUGGUCUGAGAGGACGAUCAGCCACACUGGGACUGAGACACGGCCCAGACUCCUACGGGAGGCAGCAGUGGGGAAUCUUGCGCAAUGGGCGAAAGCCUGACGCAGCAACGCCGCGUGGGGAUGAAUGCCUUCGGGUUGUAAACCCUUUCAGUGGGAACGAACUGACGGUACCACAGAAGAACGCCCGGCCAACUACGCGCCAGCAGCCGCGGUAA